rnacentral:rRNA from 1 species
CGUAGGUGGCAAGCGUUGUCCGGAUUUAUUGGGUUUUAAAGGGUUAGGCGUAGGUGGUUUGUCUAAGUCAGUGGUGAAAGACUGGUUGCUCAACAAAUCAAGUUGCCAUUGAUACUGUCAGACUUGAGAGAAGUGGAGGCUCAUGGAAUGGAUGGUGUAGCGGUGAAAUGCAUAGAUAUCAUCCAGAACGUCGAUUGCGAAGGCAGUGGGCUGUACUUUUUCUUGACACUGAGGCACGAAAGCGUGGGGAUCAAACAGGAUU